UACGAAGGGGCGUAGCGUUGUUCGGAAUCAUGCUAGGGCGUAAGCGCACGUAGGCGGAUCUUUAAGUCCAGAGGUGGAAAGUCCCAAAGGCUCAACCUUGGAACUGCCUUUGAUACUGGGGAAUUCUUGAGUCCGGGAGAGGUGAAGUGGAACUGCGAGUGUAGAGGUGAAAUUCGUAGAGUAUUCGCAAGAACACCAGUGGCGAAGGCGGCUCACUGGCCCGGUACUGACGCUGGAGGUGACGAAAGCGUGGGGAGCAAACAGG
rnacentral:rRNA from 1 species